GCAGCAGGCAGGAGGACGGGCAGCGAGGCAGCUCCGUGAGCCGGCAGUUCCGCGGCCGUGGGGCAGAGGGGCAGAGCGUUCGCCCGGAGGGCGCCGUUUGCUGGGAAGAUGCCGCAGGCGCAGCGGGACGUGGGGCUGGGAGAUGGGGCUGCACGGGCAUAGCGAUAGGAUCGGCGUGGAAAAUGUCCCAGCCAGAGGACAGCAGCAGAGCAGGAGUCAGGAAGGUUGUGACAGGUAUUGCCUCCCCGCUCUCUCAACUGUAUCCAGAUAAGGUGGUUCGGAUCAGUGGUCUCCUGCACUUCUGCCUGCUCCCCAGCCCCGUCUGCCCCUUCCCCAGCCCUGCUUACACUCCAUCCUCCUUGCCGGCGCCACAUCCACCAGCUCCCUGUUCGCCAUCCAGCCCCGCAGCACCAAGAGCACAGUGUGUCCCCGUGCCCUCUCUGUGCUCCGAGCAGCACACAGCGCUGCAGCGGCUGCGGGAGAGAGCUCCAGAAUGGCUCUUGGAGCUGCUGAAGCUCGGUCAGCCCCACGCCUCUGUACUUUUGGAGGAAAUGUUUCGUAUGUCACUUGAACAGGACCCAGGAGGACCUGCCCCCGUUUCUGUGGCGCUCAGCACCCACGGCGUGGGGCGAGCACGGCCACAUCGGCCGGGGCACUUUGCGAGCGUGUGCUGGGAACAGCUGCCGCUCCAAACAAUUUUGCAAGCUGACUUCAGGAGAAAUUUAUUGCAACACAGAUAAGCAGUGACUGCUUUCUGCUUUGAGAACGUAAGAGUAAUACUACUGUAUUCUUGAUAGUGGAUUAAGCAACAAGAAAGAAAAGCUUGUCUAGGUAAAUAAAAACAUAACAUUCAUUCAUUUAACUUAAAGACAGACAGCAAAGAGGCAUUAGUAUUUCCAUAGCAACCUUAUCAUGUAGAAAAUCUUCACUUUGUGGCAUUUAAGGAUAUCUUAAAUUCGUAUGGCAAUACUUACCUAUACGGCUAACAUUUACUGAAGCGAAGUCGAUCACUCACCACCGUCCGGUCCUCCCAGUGUAUACAAACCAGCAGAUGUAAGAAAACAAGCUUUUCUUAUUUUUCUCCAUUUUAAAUUACUCUGUUUGCUAAUGCUUCAGUUGCUUUAUAAAUAUACAUAUUCACUAAAGCACAAAUAUACAGUAUAAGCAAUAAAUACAUACUUUCGUUUAUUGAUGUUGAGUGUAACAGCAACCAAAUACUGUAGCUUAUCUGCUACAAUAUUUUAUUUUUAUAGAUAGGUAGAGAAAUAGGCUGAAAAAUCCGUGUCUGAGACUGACAGAAGAAAUUACCUCCCGUGUAAGCAAAAUCAAUCUCCAUGAGACCUGACCUUUUCCAAAAAAUCUUACCAUUGAUUCUGCCAGGGAAUCUCAGUACAUCUGCAUGGGAAGCACAGGAGCACCAGAGGUUUUGAAAUCAGGAGCAGUGACUUACCUUUGUGCUGGUCAAAUACAGAUGAGGAACUGAAAUCCAUUGUGGUCUAUCUCAAUAUUUACAACCGGACCAGGCAAACACCAUCUCCAGGGUUUCUGAGGAGGAAUCCCAAAUGUUACAGUAAACAAUGAUAGCUGCUGCCAACCUUCUUGUCAGAGAAUUAAACUUGCUUUAUGGCUGCAGGUUGUUGUCAAGGCAAGGAUAUUAUCACCAGCCUGAUGGGAAUAGUAUUUUCUGUUUGCUGUGGACCCUCUUAAAAUGACAUCCCUGGAAGCUUAGCUUUUACAGGAUACCUUCAGCAAGUGAAUUUGCCUGCAAGCAUCUCUGAGAGAUGCUGCAGCUCGCCCAGCCUCAGCAGCAGAGUGCUGCCUGUAGACAAACAAGCCUCAGAGCGUGAAUGGGAUUGUGCUGGCACACGGAGCAUGUGCAGAGCUGUGGUGCUGUGCGGGUGCAGCUGUCCUCAAUGUGCCGGCAUGUGCUGCGCCCACCUGGCCCUGCUAGUGUGGUGCUGUGCUCACUGUGCCCAGGGUGCUUAUCUGCAUCACCGUUUCAGAGAUUACCUAUUUGCUGACUUACCUGUGGUGUGCAGAGUGUAAGUAAGGAAGCUAUUGCUAUACCUAAUUAAUGUGUAAUGUUGUUAUGGUUUUAUGACUUUUGGUUAUCUGUAUUCCACAUCAUAACAUCACAUAGUGCACCAGGAGUUAAAGAGUUAAUGCUCCAGUUCUGGGCAUCUGUCUUGAAGAGAAGAAGGACUCCAUACCUCAGAGGACUUUGCGUUCAGAGAGGAGAUACAACCUCUGGUAAAGUCACCUGAUGUCCCUUUUUUCCUUUGGCUCUCCUCCCUGCUGCUCAACCUGACUGCGUGUCUCACCUCAGCAUUAUGGUGAGGCCUUCAGUUUUCGGACUCUUUCUCUCAUCAUAUUCGACUUAUUAGCUUCCAUUCUAAUUAGGUUGUAUUACAGUGUGUUAUCUUGCAUUCCGAUACCGUAUUUAGUAAAUCAGUUUGUUUCUCCUCAGAUCAUUGCCGCUGUUUUUAAUUAUUUGAGGUCCCUGUUUCCCCUUUCUGGAGGUGCAGAUCUGUGGGUCCCUCCGCCCCGAUAGUCACAGACCUGGGCCGAACCAGCCCGUUAACUGCUGACAAAGGUGUAAUGAAAGAAGGGUUCUCAAGAGCUGUGAGCACAUCACUGUGGCUGAAGCGGGUAGUGAUGCUCCAACAGAGCAGUUCAACAAAUGCAGCAGUUCACAGAGGGUGCUCCAAACUCUCUGCAUCCACCAAACUGGCAGCAGACUCAUGUCGAAAAGCAGCCUUUUUGGCUGGGCCUGUGCCUCCCUUAGUUGUGAACUCAGACUGUGUGCUAUAUAAAGGAGGUUCCCCUGAUGAACUUCAUACUAGGAUGUUGCCAUGGCAGAAAUAGUAGGUAGCAAUAAAUGGGCUGAUACUGUGUUUAUCUGAAGCAGAUGGUAAUUGCCUGGAGUAGUGAGUGGGGCUGGCAGCUUGGGGGCAGGGAGGUAAUUUUGUGCUUGUGUAGUGGAAUAGACGUGCUGCUGCUGCUCAGUAAAGCAAGGCAACACAUGAAAAUUAAGGAAGGCAAGGCACUUUUUGCCUAAGAGCACAAAGAGGAUAUACAGUAAAAUGAUGUCCAUGUUUGGUCAGCCUAACAACCCCCUAGAUGUUACAUGUACUGAAUUGACCAACUCUAUUGUCUACAGCAGAUACCAGAGACAUAACUUACAUAUAGGCACUGUAGGAGUUAUAUCUGCAACUGACUCACAUCCCAGGCAUGUGGGUCUGAACCUAAAUCAAAACUGUUUGUUUGGAAAAAGAUUAUAUGCUCCAGGUAGCAGUACAGCCUUGACAGCUUGAACCAAGCUGAAAUUCUCCAAAAUGUGACCGAGACAGCCUCUGCCUCUUUUUGUCUACUGCUGUUUUUGUACUUUGGUUCUGCCUUUUUUCUACAGAGGAGAGAUCCACCACGUGGCAAACACUGGCCAUGCACAGAUCUGGGAACGUGGCACAAUGCAGGUGGUUGGCAUCUGGCACAGCUUCACCAGAAACUUGGCCUGGCUGGUGGGCAACCCCUGUGGGCCAGUGCCUUGGGCUGCUCAGAUAGGUAAAGUGCCUGCAGCUGGAAAUGUGAGUGGGCACCUCCAGGUGCAGGUUAUCAUUGUGCCCAGUGGUUUUCAGAAGGCACCACAAGUGGCCCCUGACGUUCAUGUGUGGCAGAGACCCUCUGUCAUCAUAGAAUCAUAGAAUGGGUUGGGUUGGAAGGGAUCUCAAAGAUCAUCAGUAUCCAACCUCUCUGCCACGGCAGGGUUCCCAGCUUCCAGAUCAGAUUGCCCAGGGUACCAUUCAACCUGGUCUUAAACAUCUCCAUGGACAGGGCAUCCACAUUCUCUCUGUGCAGCCCGUUCCAGCACCUCACCACUCUGAGCAAAAACCUUCCCCCUGACGUCUAACCUAAAUCUCCCCUCCUGUAGUUUAAAACCAUCCCCGUUGUCCUAUCACUAUCUAUCUGUGUAAAAAGUUGACUUCUCUCAUGUUUAUAAACUCCCUUUAAAUACUGGAAGGAACAAUGAGGUCUCCCUGCAGCCUUCUCUUUUCCAGGCUGAAAAAAUUGAGUUCCUUGAGCUUAUCUUGAGAGAAGAGGUGCUCCAGACCAUCGGUCAUCUUCAUAGCCCUCCUCUGGACCGUCUACAACAGGCUUGGACAGAAUAUGCCAGCUGGGGCCUUGCAAGGGCAAAAUAGAGUAGAGGUGGACAAUCACCUUACCCUUCCUUCUGGCCAGCCCUCUUCUGAUGGAACCCAGGAUACCAUUGGUCUUCUGGGCUGCAAGUGCACACUAACGUCCAUCAAGUGCAAGGCAUUUCUGACUUUGGACAGAGAUCUGCUGUACCUAUAACAACUCCUGGUUGUGUUUUGGAGCUACAUCCUCAGUGUUAGGGAGUGCAACAGCACCAAGCUCAGACAUAUCUGGAGAAGACAGCGUCCCACCCAGACAGAAGGUCUGCAGGGACUGAUCCAGGGCUCAACCAAACAGUGACAAUCUCCGUUAUUGUGUCAGUAGAUAAACAGGGAUUAGUGUUUAGAGAAUGAAACCACAGCUGCAUCCUAGAACUUCCUACAUGGAAUGCAAGACAGGUUGCAGAACACAGGGAUUGCAAGCAGGUCGUCAGCUGCUCUGUGAGCGCUGCAAGUCACAGCAGUGGCUGUGUCUGCUCUGUGCAUUCGGGCUCCAGGGAUCACUCCAUGGCAGUGCAACAGAUGCAAGCAGGCCCAUCUACACAGAGAAAAGGAAACUGCAAGCAGAGAUCUGUGUUCAGCACAGUGUGAACAGAAGUGCCUUGAGACCUCUGUGUGCAGCACUCACAGACACCUCUGGAAAAGGUGGGUUUCUCCUUGACUCCGCAUGUGUGCAAAGGAAUGGGAACAGGAGAGCAGGAGAGGAGGCCCCAGAGGUGCACUUCAGCUGCAGUUGGGGAAAAUCUGUGGCUUGCUCAGGGAUACACAGCCCCACCAGCACGAGGCCAGAGGCAGGACUG